rnacentral:rRNA from 1 species
AGCGAACGCUGGCGGCAGGCCUAAUACAUGCAAGUCGAACGGCUCUUCGGAGCAGUGGCGGACGGGUGAGUAACGCGUGGGAACGUGCCCUUUGGUUCGGAAGAACACAGGUAAACGUGUGGUAAGACCGAAUGUGAUCUUCGGGGGAAAGGUAUAUGGCCAUUGGAGCGGCUCGCGUUGGAUAAGCUAGUUGGUGGGGUAAUGGCCCACCAAGGCGACGAUCCAUAGCUGGUCUGAGAGGAUGAUCAGCCACACUGGGACUGAGAAACGGCCCAGACUCCUACGGGAGGCAGCAGUAGGGAAUCUUGCGCAAUGGGCGAAAGCCUGAAGCAGCCAUGCCGCGUGAAUGAUGAAGGUCUUAGGAUUGUAAAAUUCUUUCACCGGGGAAGAUAAUGACGGUACCCGGAGAAGAAGCCCCGGCUAACUUCGUGCCAGCAGCCGCAGUAA